CUUGCGAAGGUCUUUGAUGGUGAUGAAAGUUACGCUAGUGUGAGUGUUGUCAAAAGCCGUGAGGGAUUGCGGGUACGAGAAAUAGUAUUAAUGGAAUAAUGGCAGCAACCAGCGGUGAAUAUAUUAAAUCUCAAUUCCCGACAAUUGAUGACGAGUUGUAUCAGUAUGUGGAAGGAAUUUUGUCAAGCAGUGCAGACGAUUUCGAAGAUAGCACAGAACUGUACGAUGCAAUUGGAGAAGUUCUUCAUGAAGCGGCAAGCGAUAAAAGUGAAGUAGAAAUAAGAAAUAUAUGUGAAAGGCUCUUAGGAAUUCUAAAACCAAAUAAGUCUGAUUUACUAAAUCAUGGGCCAACUAAAGUUCUCAAUGCUCCUGUUCACCUUGCAUCUAUGGCUGCCAAUUUGGAAGACAAUGUGCAAGACAUCAAAAGCAUUUGGAUGAUGACUAGAGAUGCUGGAUUAAAAGUUGAUGCAAAGAAACUUGAGAAAGCUGAAGCAAAGUUACAACAAAAGCAAGAGAAAAGAAGCUUGGAUAUGCAAAUGAAUAGAAAUCAAGCAACAACAGGACCGCGGUUAGAAACAGCAACUGCUUCACAAGUUACUAGCAAAAAGGAAACAAAAUUGGAGGAUAAAGGCAACAAUCGGACUCAGGACAUCCGCAUAGAAAACUUUGAUGUCGCUUAUGGUAACAGGGUCUUGCUGCAGGCUGCUGAUCUCACAUUGGCGUUUGGAAGAAGGUAUGGUCUUGUGGGAAGAAAUGGUCUUGGCAAGACUACUCUUUUGAGGAUGAUAUCAAGUGGACAACUGCGGAUACCUUCACACAUAUCUGUUCUCCAUGUGGAGCAGGAAGUGGUUGGAGAUGACACAACUGCAUUGCAGAGUGUUCUCCAGUGUGAUACUGUUCGUGAAAGACUAAUCGCUAAAGAAAAGGAAAUCAGCACAAAAUUAAAUAAUGGGUGCACGGAACCUGAAUUGACUCAAGAGUUGACUGAUGUCUACACUCAGCUGCAAAAUAUAGAAGCUGAUAAAGCUCCAGCACGUGCCAGUAUUAUUCUGAAUGGUCUUGGGUUCUCCACUGAAAUGCAGCAGCGUUGCACAAAAGAAUUCUCGGGAGGUUGGCGGAUGAGGCUCGCUUUGGCGAGAGCAUUGUUCUCAAGACCUGAUCUGCUGUUACUUGAUGAGCCUACUAAUAUGUUGGAUAUAAAAGCCAUCAUAUGGUUAGAAAAUUACUUGCAGAACUGGCCCACCACGUUACUGGUUGUGUCUCACGAUAGGCACUUUCUUGACACAGUGCCCACUGAUAUUCUUCACCUACAUUCCCAACGUAUAGAAGCUUACAGGGGGAACUACGAGAAUUUUGAUAAGACUAAAACAGAAAAAUUACGAAAUCAGCAGCGGGAGUUUGAGGCUCAACAGCAACAUCGUGCCCAUGUUCAAGAAUUCAUUGACAGAUUUCGCUAUAAUGCAAAUAGGGCUUCAAGUGUUCAGAGCAAAAUCAAGAUGCUUGAAAAACUGCCAGAACUCAAACCCAUAGAGAAAGAAAUUGAAGUUGUUCUGAAAUUUCCUGAUGCUGAACCACUGUCACCACCAAUUCUACAGAUUAAUGAAGUAUCUUUUGGAUACACGUCUGAGAUGCCAAUUUUCACUGAUGUCAACCUUGGUGCUACAUUAGACUCCAGAAUUUGCAUAGUUGGUGACAAUGGAGCCGGUAAAACGACUCUACUUAAAAUCAUAAUGGGCAUGCUGACACCCACAAAGGGAAUGCGGCAUGUUCAUCGGAAUUUGAAAUUUGGCUAUUUUAGUCAACAUCAUGUGGAUCAGUUGGAAAUGAAUGUCUCAUCAGUGGAAUUACUCCAGUCUUCUUAUCCAGGUAAACCCAUAGAGGAGUACAGGCGGCAGCUGGGAAGUUUUGGUAUUACUGGAGACAUGGCCCUCCAGACAGUUGGAAGUCUCUCAGGAGGACAAAAAUCGCGAGUAGCAUUUUCCAGGAUGUGUAUGGGAAAUCCAAACUUCUUGGUGCUUGAUGAACCAACAAAUCAUCUAGACAUAGAGACUAUUGAAGCCCUAGGAAAAGCAAUAAAUAAAUUCACUGGUGGGGUUAUUCUUGUGUCUCAUGACGAACGCCUUAUUCGAAUGGUUUGUAAAGAACUUUGGGUAUGUGGAGGUGGGAAAGUGAAAAGUAUUGAAGGUGGAUUUGACGAAUACCGGAAGAUUGUUGAACGAGAGCUAGAGGCACAACUGAAAUGAAAUUCCACACUGCUGCACAAGAACCUAUUGUUGGUUGUAAAUGAAACAGAGGAAAUUACCAACUUGCAGCCAACAUCUGAUGUGUUUGUAAAGCAGUUUUCAAUGGCAAUUGAAAGUGCACCUCCUGAUUUACAUUUUGAACUAAUCAAUUUGCAAACUAAUGACCACUGAAAGGAUUUAUUUUC